ACCAAUACCAUAUUUUUAAUUAUCUUCCAGGCCAAAAUUAUACAUCAGAAGCAAAGAUUAAACAUGCUUAUUCUAAGAGGAAAGAGAGUAGUUCUUAUUUUUGUAGAAGGAGAAAUGAAAGGCCAUUUAAUUUUGCCAACUGAUAUGGUUUGGGUCUGUGUUCCCACCCAAAUCUCACAUUGAAUUGUAAUCCCCAGUGUUGGAGGUGGGGCUUGGUGGGAGGUGACUGGCUUAUGGGGGUGGUUUCUAAUGGUUUAGUACCAUCCCUCUAGUGCUGUCUCAUGACAGAGUCCUCACCAGAUCUGGAUGUUGAAAAGUGUGAGGUACCUCCUCCCUCUGUCUCUUCCUCCUGCCCUGGCUAUGAAAGAUGUGCCUGCUUCCCCUUCACCUUCCACCAUCAUGGUCUGAGCCCAGGGAGCUACUUCUGGAGAUGCUGUGGUCUGGGGUGGAUCCUGCCUUCUCAGCCCCUGCCUGUUGAAGUCACUGAAGUCUCUGCUGCAUCUCCGGGCUUCUGCUGAGCAGGGCUGGAAGGUCUUGCUUGAGGAGCUGAAGCCCACCAGCAGGUGGCAGACAAAUCCAGAGGGUAUUCAUUGGAGGAUGAAGAUUUCCUGCCUCUGGCAGAGCCCCACCAACCAGGCCUGGCGAUCAUGACAUCCAAUUCCAGGGGCUGCAGGGGAGCCCUUCCUUCCGAGUGAGCCACGAGGCUGCCUGCCCUGGUGUUUGGCUUCAGGCAGCUCUGACAUCAAUCUGUCAUUCCAGAGGACACUUUUAGAUAAACAGUCUUGCUCUGUUGCCAGGCUGGAGUACAGUGGCACGAUCUUGGCUCACUGCAAUCUCCACCUCCCAGGUUCAAGCGAUUCUCCUGCCUCAGACUCCUGAAUAGCUGGGACUACAGGCAUGUGCCACCACAUCCGGCUAAUUUUUUGUAUUUUUUUAGUAGAGAUGUGGUUUCACCAUGUUGGCCAGGAUGGUCUCAAUCUCCUGACCUCAUGAUCCACCCGCCUUGGCCUCCCAAAGUGCUGGGAUUGCAGGCAUGAGCCACUGUGCCCGGCCUGCAAAUUCUUUUAAAGUACACUUUUAUAGUUGUAUAAUGCCAGUGUAGACUAACCUCUGUAACAACCAACCUUCAAAUGUCAAUGUCUUAAUAUCUUACUUUCGUAUCAAAAUACAAAGUGAGUCAGCAGGGAGACUGUUCCAGUGUCAUUCAGGGACCCUGACUUCUUCCAUCCUGUGGUUCUACCUUACCCUGGGUACUCUUCACUCAACUUAUGGAUGGGCAAAGGGAAGCGUUCAUCUGAGGUGGUCGUGUGAGUCUGUGUGAGCCUGCAAGCACUGCCCAUCUCUUACACCCACACCCCAUUGGCCAGAACUCUGUUCUCUGAUAAACAGUGGCAUCGUUGUUGUGCUUGACCACAAGAAAAGGAAUUGUGUGUCCAGGAAAGAGAGAAGAUGCAUGUAGCUGAGGAGUGGCAGUUUCGGCUGUAAAUAUAUAACCUCACCCAAGGGGGUGCUUCACCUAAAAACUUGCAGUAGGCAGAAUGAUGGUGUCCCCAGUGACGUCCACGUCCUCAUCCCAGAAUCUGUGACUAUGUCACCUUACAUGCACAAGGACCUUGCAGAUGGGAUUAAGCUGAGAAUCCUGAGAUGGGGAUGUUUUCCUGGAUAAUCUGGGCAGGCCCAGUAUCAUCACAAAGGUCCUUAGAAGUGGAAGAGGGAGGCAGGAGAGUCAGAGAGAGGUUUGAAGAUGCCGUACUGAAGGCUUUGAAGGUGGAGGAAAGGGCAAGGAACCCAGGCAGCCUCUGGAAGCAGGAAAAGGUGAAGGAAUGAAUCCCUGGAGGACGCAGCCCUGCCAACACCUCAAUUUCAGCACAGUGAGACCCAUUUUGGACCUCUGAUCUUUAAGACUAUGAGAUAAUAAAUCUGCAUUGUUGUAAGCCUCCAAGUUUGUGGCAAUUUGUUACAGCAGCCAUAGGAAAUGGAUACGGAGCUCUCUCAAUGUUGUAUCCCUACCAUGUGCCUGACCCAUUGGAGGUUCACCCAGUAGGCACAUUUUUUUCAUGUGGGCUUCAAU
rnacentral:lncRNA from 1 species